GAUGAAGAACGUAGCGAAAUGCGAUAAGUAGUGUGAAUUGCAGAAUUCAGUGAAUCAUCGAAUCUUUGAACGCACAUUGCGCCCGCCAGUAUUCUGGCGGGCAUGCCUGUUCGAGCGUCAUUUCAACCCUCAGGCCCCCAGUGCCUGGUGUUGGGGAUCGGCCCAGCCUUCCUGUAAGGCCGCCGGCCCCGAAAUCUAGUGGCGGUCUCGCUGUAGUCCUCCUCUGCGUAGUAGCACAACCUCGCAGUUGGAACGCGGCGGAGGCCAUGCCGUUAAACACCCCACUUCUGAAAGUUGACCUCGGAUCAGGUAGGAAUACCCGCUGAACUUAAGCAUAUCAAUAAGCGGAGGA
rnacentral:misc_RNA from 1 species